AUGCGUUGCUUGUUUUUGGCUUCUUUAAGUUUGCUGAUGUCUGUUUUUUGCUUGUUUGACUUGCGGGCAUUCCUGGAAUCGGUGGUUGCCAGUAUAACCAGUCUGUGAUUGAUCUGAUUGCUUGAAUUGCCGCCAUUCGUGUUGCCCAAUUGAUAUCCUGGCACCUUGGAGCGACUGGCGGAUCCUUUUUUCAAUGCUGCUAGAUAACUAUCUUGAAAUCUAUCCACAUCAACGAAGAUAUUUGAAACGCGAGUACCUACAGUGUUGCCUGCACCGAUUCUGACGUUACCACGCGGUUGCUUUGACAUGAGGAACUCUAAAGCUGCG
rnacentral:lncRNA from 1 species